UUCUCUCUCUCUCUGUCUCUCAGUCUAUCACCACCGUGGUUUAUCCACUGUUGGAUGAAGAUCACUGUGGUGAUGGUGGUGAUGAUGAUGAUGAGGAUGUCUCUGAUCCAAGUGAUCCUCGAUCACUCUCGUACAGCUAUUUGCCAUUCUGGAUUAAACAUGAAAAAAAAUCAUUCGCCUUCCUCAUUUAUCAAAGUCUCUUUAAUUAAGUUGGGCAUUCUAAAGCCUCUUAGCCGCCCUUUUUUAUUGUUAUUUCGCGUAUUUAUUGUGUUGUUGCGUGUUGUUGUGUGUGUGUGUGUUCUCCGUUGCUGGCAAAUGAUUUAGAAGCAGCGUGAAGCAGAAUUCGCGGACUAAUCCAUCGUAUUCGUGUGGCAACAUUGUGAGUGUACGGGGAGUUGAGAUUACGCGGGGAUCUGAGAGGUACCCUGAGGUGCGUGACGUCAUUUAUGGGCGCCCCCUUUCUCUUGAAGUUUGCGUUGAAGAUGUUCAAACGCCACAACGGGAAUCUCAUUGUGCGUGACGUCAUUUAUGGACGGCCCCUAAGGCAGUGACUUGCCCUACCCCCGCCUACGCAUCUUCGUUCACAGCAUAGUUUAAUUUCAUAGUUGUUUCAUUUAUGUUGGUAUAUCCCUGUGAGCCACUCGGCUCUUGAAUCGGGUGCGACCGCUUCAAACAAAAAAAAACUAAAACAUGAACAAGAAAAAAACAUCUUAGAGUGAUAUCCUUUGGUUCUCUC